rnacentral:rRNA from 1 species
UUAAGCGACUAAGCGUACACGGUGGAUGCCCUGGCAGUCAGAGGCGAUGAAGGACGUGCUAAUCUGCGAUAAGCGUCGGUGAGGUGAUAUGAACCGUUAUAACCGGCGAUUUCCGAAUGGGGAAACCCAGUGUGUUUCGACACACUAUCAUUAACUGAAUCCAUAGGUUAAUGAGGCGAACCGGGGGAACUGAAACAUCUAAGUACCCCGAGGAAAAGAAAUCAACCGAGAUUCCCCCAGUAGCGGCGAGCGAACGGGGAGGAGCCCAGAGCCUGAAUCAGUGUGUGUGUUAGUGGAAGCGUCUGGAAAGGCGCGCGAUACAGGGUGACAGCCCCGUACACAAAAAUGCACAUAUUGUGAGCUCGAUGAGUAGGGCGGGACACGUGGUAUCCUGUCUGAAUAUGGGGGGACCAUCCUCCAAGGCUAAAUACUCCUGACUGACCGAUAGUGAACCAGUACCGUGAGGGAAAGGCGAAAAGAACCCCGGCGAGGGGAGUGAAAAAGAACCUGAAACCGUGUACGUACAAGCAGUGGGAGCCUCUUAAUGGGGUGACUGCGUACCUUUUGUAUAAUGGGUCAGCGACUUAUAUUCUGUAGCAAGGUUAACCGAAUAGGGGAGCCGAAGGGAAACCGAGUCUUAACUGGGCGUUAAGUUGCAGGGUAUAGACCCGAAACCCGGUGAUCUAGCCAUGGGCAGGUUGAAGGUUGGGUAACACUAACUGGAGGACCGAACCGACUAAUGUUGAAAAAUUAGCGGAUGACUUGUGGCUGGGGGUGAAAGGCCAAUCAAACCGGGAGAUAGCUGGUUCUCCCCGAAAGCUAUUUAGGUAGCGCCUCGUGAAUUCAUCUCCGGGGGUAGAGCACUGUUUCGGCAAGGGGGUCAUCCCGACUUACCAACCCGAUGCAAACUGCGAAUACCGGAGAAUGUUAUCACGGGAGACACACGGCGGGUGCUAACGUCCGUCGUGAAGAGGGAAACAACCCAGACCGCCAGCUAAGGUCCCAAAGUCAUGGUUAAGUGGGAAACGAUGUGGGAAGGCCCAGACAGCCAGGAUGUUGGCUUAGAAGCAGCCAUCAUUUAAAGAAAGCGUAAUAGCUCACUGGUCGAGUCGGCCUGCGCGGAAGAUGUAACGGGGCUAAACCAUGCACCGAAGCUGCGGCAGCGACACUAUGUGUUGUUGGGUAGGGGAGCGUUCUGUAAGCCUGUGAAGGUGGCCUGUGAGGGUUGCUGGAGGUAUCAGAAGUGCGAAUGCUGACAUAAGUAACGAUAAAGCGGGUGAAAAGCCCGCUCGCCGGAAGACCAAGGGUUCCUGUCCAACGUUAAUCGGGGCAGGGUGAGUCGACCCCUAAGGCGAGGCCGAAAGGCGUAGUCGAUGGGAAACAGGUUAAUAUUCCUGUACUUGGUGUUACUGCGAAGGGGGGACGGAGAAGGCUAUGUUGGCCGGGCGACGGUUGUCCCGGUUUAAGCGUGUAGGCUGGUUUUCCAGGCAAAUCCGGAAAACCAAGGCUGAGGCGUGAUGACGAGGCACUACGGUGCUGAAGCGACAAAUGCCCUGCUUCCAGGAAAAGCCUCUAAGCAUCAGGUAACAUCAAAUCGUACCCCAAACCGACACAGGUGGUCAGGUAGAGAAUACCAAGGCGCUUGAGAGAACUCGGGUGAAGGAACUAGGCAAAAUGGUGCCGUAACUUCGGGAGAAGGCACGCUGAUAUGUAGGUGAAGCGACUUGCUCGUGGAGCUGAAAUCAGUCGAAGAUACCAGCUGGCUGCAACUGUUUAUUAAAAACACAGCACUGUGCAAACACGAAAGUGGACGUAUACGGUGUGACGCCUGCCCGGUGCCGGAAGGUUAAUUGAUGGGGUUAGCGGCAACGCGAAGCUCUUGAUCGAAGCCCCGGUAAACGGCGGCCGUAACUAUAACGGUCCUAAGGUAGCGAAAUUCCUUGUCGGGUAAGUUCCGACCUGCACGAAUGGCGUAAUGAUGGCCAGGCUGUCUCCACCCGAGACUCAGUGAAAUUGAACUCGCUGUGAAGAUGCAGUGUACCCGCGGCAAGACGGAAAGACCCCGUGAACCUUUACUAUAGCUUGACACUGAACAUUGAGCCUUGAUGUGUAGGAUAGGUGGGAGGCUUUGAAGUGUGGACGCCAGUCUGCAUGGAGCCGGCCUUGAAAUACCACCCUUUAAUGUUUGAUGUUCUAACGUGGGCCCCUUACCGGGGUUGCGGACAGUGUCUGGUGGGUAGUUUGACUGGGGCGGUCUCCUCCUAAAGAGUAACGGAGGAGCACGAAGGUUGGCUAAUCCUGGUCGGACAUCAGGAGGUUAGUGCAAUGGCAUAAGCCAGCUUGACUGCGAGCGUGACGGCGCGAGCAGGUGCGAAAGCAGGUCAUAGUGAUCCGGUGGUUCUGAAUGGAAGGGCCAUCGCUCAACGGAUAAAAGGUACUCCGGGGAUAACAGGCUGAUACCGCCCAAGAGUUCAUAUCGACGGCGGUGUUUGGCACCUCGAUGUCGGCUCAUCACAGUCCUGGGGCUGAAGUAGGUCCCAAGGGUAUGGCUGUUCGCCAUUUAAAGUGGUACGCGAGCUGGGUUUAGAACGUCGUGAGACAGUUCGGUCCCUAUCUGCCGUGGGCGCUGGAGAACUGAGGGGGGCUGCUCCUAGUACGAGAGGACCGGAGUGGACGCAUCACUGGUGUUCGGGUUGUCAUGCCAAUGGCACUGCCCGGUAGCUAAAUGCGGAAGAGAUAAGUGACUGAAAGCAUCUAAGCACGAAACUUGCCCCGAGAUGAGUUCUCCCUGACCCUUUAAGGGUCCUGAAGGAACGUUGAAGACGACGACGUUGAUAGGCCGGGUGUGUAAGCGCAGCGAUGCGUUGAGCUAACCGGUACUAAUGAACCGUGAGGCUUAACCUU